GACGAACCGUGCGAACGUUGUUCGGAAUCACUGGGCUUAAAGGGCGCGUAGGCGGGUUCGCAAGUCAGGGGUGAAAUCUUUCAGCUUAACUGGAAACAGCCCUGAUACUGCGAGUCUCGAGGGAGGUAGGGCAUGUGGAACUUCCGGUGGAGCGGUGAAAUGCGUAGAUAUCGGAAGGAACGCCGGUGGCGAAAGCGAACGUGCUGGACCUCUUCUGACGCUGGAGGCGCGAAAGCGUGGGGGAGCAAACAGG
rnacentral:rRNA from 1 species